rnacentral:rRNA from 1 species
UACGGAAGGCAGCAGUGGGGAAUAUUGCACAAUGGGCGCAAGCCUGAUGCAGCCAUGCCGCGUGUAUGAAGAAGGCCUUCGGGUUGUAAAGUACUUUUAGUCGUGAGGAAGGUGUUAAGGUUAAUAACCUUAGCAAUUGACGUUAGCGACAGAAGAAGCACCGGCUAACUCCGUGCCAGCAGCCGCGGUAAUACGGAGGGUGCGAGCGUUAAUCGGAAUUACUGGGCGUAAAGGGCACGCAGGCGGUUAAUUAAGUUGGAUGUGAAAUCCCCGGGCUUAACCUGGGAAUGGCAUUCAAGACUGGUUAGCUAGAGUCUUGUAGAGGGGGUAGAAUUCCAUGUGUAGCGGUGAAAUGCGUAGAGAUGUGGAGGAAUACCGGUGGCGAAGGCGGCCCCUGGACAAAGACUGACGCUCAUGUGCGAAAGCGUGGGGAGCAAACAGGGAUUAGAUACCCGU